rnacentral:rRNA from 1 species
CCAGGGGACGUGGAUAACCUCGGGAAACUGAGGAUAAACCGCGAUAGGUCACUACUUCUGGAAUGGGUAAUGACCCAAACCUAUAUGGCCCCUGGAUUGGACUGCGGCCGAUCAGGCUGUUGGUGAGGUAAUGGCCCACCAAACCUGUAACCGGUACGGGCUCUGAGAGGAGGAGCCCGGAGAUGGGCACUGAGACAAGGGCCCAGGCCCUAUGGGGCGCAGCAGGCGCGAAACCUCUGCAAUAGGCGAAAGCUUGACAGGGUUACUCUGAGUGAUUUCCGUUAAGGAGAUCUUUUGGCACCUCUAAAAAUGGUGCAGAAUAAGGGGUGGGCAAGUCUGGUGUAAGCCGCCGCGGUAAUACCAGCACCCCGAGUGGUCGGGACGUUUAUUGGGCCUAAAGCAUCCGUAGCCGGUUCUACAAGUCUUCCGUUAAAUCCACCUGCUCAACAGAUGGGCUGCGGACGAUACUAUGGAGCUAGGAGGCGGGAGAGGCAAGCGGUACUCGAUGGGUAGGGGUAAAAUCCGUUGAUCCAUUGAAGACCACCAGUGGCGAAGGCGGCUUGCCAGAACGCGCUCGACGGUGAGGGAUGAAAGCUGGGGGAGCAAACCGGAUUAGAUACCCGGGUAGUCCCAGCUGUAAACGAUGCAGACUCGGUGAUGAGUUGGCUUUAUGCCAACUCAGUGCCGCAGGGAAGCCGUUAAGUUUGCCGCCUGGGGAGUACGGUCGCAAGACUGAAACUUAAAGGAAUUG